rnacentral:rRNA from 1 species
CAGUAGCCACGGUAAUACGGAGGAUCCAAGCGUUAUCCGGAAUCAUUGGGUUUAAAGGGUCCGUAGGCGGUCUUGUAAGUCAGUGGUGAAAGCCCAUCGCUCAACGGUGGAACGGCCAUUGAUACUGCAGGACUUGAAUUAUUGGGAAGUAACUAGAAUAUGUAGUGUAGCGGUGAAAUGCUUAGAGAUUACAUGGAAUACCAAUUGCGAAGGCAGGUUACUACCAAUUGAUUGACGCUGAUGGACGAAAGCGUGGGUAGCGAACAGGAUUAGAUACCCCGGUAGUCCCUGUCUCUUAUAU